AUUGAACGCUGGCGGCAGGCCUAACACAUGCAAGUCGAACGGGACGGGUGCGUGAUGUCUGUGACUCUGCAUGUUGGAGAGGGAUAGCGACAGGAAACGGUAGCUAUUACCGAUAACCAUCGGCUGUGCCCAGAUGGGAUGAGCUUGUCGGUGGGGUAAAGGCUAAGCCAGGCGACGAUCCCUAGCUGGUCUGAGAGGAUGACCAGCCACACUGGAACUGAGACACGGUCCAGACUCCUACGUGAGGCAGCAGUGGGGAAUAUUGCACAAUGGGCGCAAGCCUGAUGCAGCCAUGCCGCGUGUAUGAAGAAGGCCUUCGGGUUGUAAAGUACUUUCAGCGGGGAGGCGUUACCCGCAGAAGAAGCACCGGCUAACUCCGUGCCAGCAGCCGCGGUAAUUC
rnacentral:rRNA from 1 species